rnacentral:rRNA from 1 species
AAGACCUUGCGCUUUUGGAGCGGCCGAUGCCUGAUUAGCUUGUUGGUAAGGUAAAAGCUUACCAAGGCUUCGAUCAGUAGCUGGUCUGAGAGGACGACCAGCCACACUGGGACUGAGACACGGCCCAGACUCCUACGGGAGGCAGCAGUGGGGAAUUUUGGACAAUGGGGGCAACCCUGAUCCAGCCAUGCCGCGUGAGUGAAGAAGGCCUUCGGGUUGUAAAGCUCUUUCAGCCGGGAAGAAAAGGUUGCGAUUAAUAAUCGCAAUUUAUGACGGUACCGGAAGAAGAAGCACCGGCUAACUACGUGCCAGCAGCCGCGGUAAUACGUAGGGUGCGAGCGUUAAUCGGAAUUACUGGGCGUAAAGCGUGCGCAGGUGGUUUUGUAAGUCAGAUGUGAAAUCCCCGGGCUUAACCUGGGAACU